rnacentral:lncRNA from 1 species
CCGGGGAAAGAAGAAAAGGUUCCCGUCUUGGAAACACAGAACCUCAGCAGGAUGUGGGGCUUCUGCCUGAUCCUUCUCUGUGGGUAUUGUGGUGUGCACAGCCAGCUUGUGGUACCUAUACAGGAGUCAACGACAGCAGGUAAGUUGGCUGAAGAGAAUUCAUAUGAUGGAUGAGGUGGAAGAAUGUUUUCUAGGGAGA